UCUUAUUUUAGUUAUUGGGGCACAACAUGAGCUUGUAUUGAAUAUGUGAAGUUGGAAUUUUAGUUAGCGUAUGGAGGAGCUGCCGGGAGUGAGUGAGGGCAUUGAGCUGCCGGGAGUGAGUGAGGGCAUUGAGCUGCAGGGAGUGAGUGAGAUAAUUGAUCUGCCAGGAGUGAGUGAUGGGCUUUGAGCUGCCAGGGGUAACUGAGGGCAUUGAGCUGC